UGCAAGUCGAACGGUAACAGGGAGCAGCUUGCUGCUCUGCUGACGAGUGGCGGACGGGUGAGUAAUGUCUGGGAAACUGCCUGAUGGAGGGGGAUAACUACUGGAAACGGUAGCUAAUACCGCAUAACGUCUUCGGACCAAAGUGGGGGACCUUCGGGCCUCAUGCCAUCAGAUGUGCCCAGAUGGGAUUAGCUAGUAGGUGGGGUAACGGCUCACCUAGGCGACGAUCCCUAGCUGGUCUGAGAGGAUGACCAGCCACUGGAACUGAGACACGGUCCAGACUCCUACGGGAGGCAGCAGUGGGGAAUAUUGCACAAUGGGCGCAAGCCUGAUGCAGCCAUGCCGCGUGUAUGAAGAAGGCCUUCGGGUUGUAAAGUACUUUCAGCGGGGAGGAAGGUGUUGUGGUUAAUAACCACAGCAAUUGACGUUACCCGCAGAAGAAGCACCGGCUAACUCCGUGCCAGCAGCCGCGGUAAUACGGAGGGUGCAAGCGUUAAUCGGAAUUACUGGGCGUAAAGCGCACGCAGGCGGUUGAUUAAGUCAGAUGUGAAAUCCCCGGGCUCAACCUGGGAACUGCAUUUGAAACUGGUCAGCUUGAGUCUCGUAGAGGGGGGUAGAAUUCCAGGUGUAGCGGUGAAAUGCGUAGAGAUCUGGAGGAAUACCGGUGGCGAAGGCGGCCCCCUGGACGAAGACUGACGCUCAGGUGCGAAAGCGUGGGGAGCAAACAGGAUUAGAUACCCUGGUAGUCCACGCCGUAAACGAUGUCGACUUGGAGGUUGUGCCCUUGAGGCGUGGCUUCCGGAGCUAACGCGUUAAGUCGACCGCCUGGGGAGUACGGCCGCAAGGUUAAAACUCAAAUGAAUUGACGGGGGCCCGCACAAGCGGUGGAGCAUGUGGUUUAAUUCGAUGCAACGCGAAGAACCUUACCUGGUCUUGACAUCCAGAGAAUCCUGCAGAGAUGCGGGGAUGCCUUCGGGAACUCUGAGACAGGUGCUGCAUGGCUGUCGUCAGCUCGUGUUGUGAAAUGUUGGGUUAAGUCCCGCAACGAGCGCAACCCUUAUCCUUUGUUGCCAGCGGUCCGGCCGGGAACUCAAAGGAGACUGCCGGUGAUAAACCGGAGGAAGGUGGGGAUGACGUCAAGUCAUCAUGGCCCU
rnacentral:rRNA from 1 species